UAUUGCGAUUAUCACAGGGUUCGCAAGGGGCAAGACUUGGAUAGCAGGAGCACUGGUUGGCACGGUGUUGCGCCGGGUAAACUUCUUGGGAGCCAUCUCUUUGUUGAAUUUUUUUAAAGGAUUUCUCCUGAGGGAUCCAGGCAAACGUGUUUGUGAGACCAACAUGGCUUGUCACAUCACCGGUCCCCACGACCGGUCCCCAGCAAGCCGACUGCUGGGCAAGUCGCACCCAACCCCCGAUGCCGUCAAGGGAAACUUUCCCUGUACGGGAAUUUUCCCCGGGGCCUGGACGAGUUUGCCGGGAGCGCGUAUCUCGCUUGUCUGAGGCGUGCUGCUAGUAGCUCAUAGUACAUAGGUGCUGCCUUGCUCAAGCUUUGGCUUUAAUGGCCGCGACCGGCCGGUGCCCCGAUUGGCACAAGGUUGGGACGCUGGAGGCCAGCUCUCGACGCUAGGAUUGCUCUCAUAUUCAUAUUUGUAUAUUCGUUAAAGGAGGGAAAGCUCAAAGGACGCUCAAGCUGCGCGCCAGGAUUCGCGGCUGCAGUUGCAGGAGAGAGGCACAGGCACAGCUGGGCAAAGGCGCCACAGGAUAGCACGUAAUCUUACACGAUAGCUCAGAAGAUACCUGCCCCGAACGAACGGGAACACAUGUCGUGGAUUUUGCAGGGUCAUUACCGGUAGCCACAGCUGGCCACAGCGCACAGAACAAGCGCGGAUGUCUGGAUCUACCUUUUCAACGCAUAAUAUCAUGUCAAUGGUGACGUUAGAACUUGAGCGGUGGACUUUGCUGCAGUGUACCUCCACUGCACUUUAACUUUUACCGGGCGCGUCCGAUCGCCUCGGCAUAGAGCUAGAUGAUAAGCGUUGCACGCGAC
rnacentral:lncRNA from 1 species